GGCUGGAUGCAAUAAUGCACAUGUCUGAACAGGUGACUGCUGUUCUACCUAUUGUCUGUGAACCAGCUUUUCCAAAUACCUGGCCUUCACUGACUGGUGUGACAACUGCUGUUUUGUGUGUUUGGUGUUUUA